AACACAUGCAAGUCGAACGAUGUCCCCAGCUUGCUGGGGAUUAGUGGCGAACGGGUGAGUAACACGUGAGUAACCUGCCCAAGACUCUGGGAUAAGCCUGGGAAACUGGGUCUAAUACUGGAUGCCGACUUUCUGCCGCAUGGUGGGGGGUUGAAAGAUUUAUUGGUUUUGGAUGGACUCGCGGCCUAUCAGCUUGUUGGUGGGGUAAUGGCCUACCAAGGCGACGACGGGUAGCCGGCCUGAGAGGGUGACCGGCCACACUGGGACUGAGACACGGCCCAGACUCCUACGGGAGGCAGCAGUGGGGAAUAUUGCACAAUGGGCGAAAGCCUGAUGCAGCGACGCCGCGUGAGGGAUGACGGCCUUCGGGUUGUAAACCUCUUUCAGUACGGAACAAG
rnacentral:rRNA from 1 species